GUCCAGCUGACGAGUCCUAAAUAGGACGAAACGCGCGUCCUCCAU
rnacentral:hammerhead_ribozyme from 1 species